CUUUUAAAAUGUCUAGGCCUCCUCAGAUUCUCAUUUUUCACCCACGUACUGUAUAAAUGCAUUAUAAGACAAAAAGCUUGAGUCUCCACGGGUUAAAGUAAUGCCAGUAUGAGCCACGGCGGUCAGAAUAUUCCCUCUACAGCAUUCCAAACCACAAGAAUGUGUUAUUCUGACAAUAAGAUGCUAACAGAAACAGUGUAGACUUUCUAUGUGAGUCACAACAGAAGUUCAUUUUCUUAUUAGCUUCUCCUACUUCCUAAAUAUCACAAGUUAAA